ensembl:lncRNA
GUCUCUGGUACGAUAAUCCUACAUUUCCCACCUGGCAACGCUGCACGGUAGAUCUGCCUCGGCUCCGGCUCUGCAGCUUUCCAUUAUUGGGGAAGCCGGCCGCCUGUGAGUUUGUCUGCAGGGUGAUCAUCUGUUCUGACGGUGGAAAGAAACAACGCACUUUCAUCUGUAAACAUGGAGAGUCAUUUGAUUUUGAGCGCCCUUUUGAUGUGGUCCGUUUGGACCUCAGUCGCUGCGAAGGAGAUAAAGUUCAGCUGUUGUGACCUGCCAAUCAAAGUUCCGUUAAACCGCAGAAAUGAUAACGAGUUCUCCAUCGAAAGCAAGUCAGUGGCCAUUGCAACACCCUCCGUCUUUCAAGCUGAGGCUCCCUUUUCUGUCCAUGGAAACACAACACUGACCCUGGACAAGUGUGUGGACUUUGAUCAGAAGACAGUUUUUGAUCAUGAGAAGGGUUCCUCAGACGAAAAUAUGAUCCACCACCACGGUCUGCCCUGCAACAGCACAGCCCCUCCAGACAAUCCACUACAGGGACACAAACACGCAGGCGUCAUUGUCACGAUUCUGUUGAUAGUCCUGGGAGGAGGAGUGAUUGGGGCCAUUUGAUAUUUAAACAACAAGCUUUGUAAGAAAACUGAAGAAGCCAUUGUCGUUUAAAAUGCCUUGAAUCCUUCAUUUCUACCUCCUCCACCCCGAGACACUGCACGGAACAGCUGGCUUCCAUCUUCACGGACAUUUUCAACACCUCCCUGGAGUCAUGCCACGUGCCAGCCUGCUUCAAAUCAUCCACCAUCGCCCCUGUUCCUAAGAAGCCACGGAUCAAAGGACCAAAUGACUGCAGACAUCAGCCACUAGCCUGUAGUCAUGAAGUCUUCUGAAAUCUUCUCCCCAUCUGAAGGACAUCACCGCCCCCCUCCCGGUCUCAGCUGCUCAGGGGGACAGGUCUCGAGGUCCUUUUUAUAUUUGUUUUUGCGCUGGUCAUUUUUCAUUGUUAAUCAUGGAUCUUGAAAGCCAGGUGAACACAUCUGUACAGUGUAAUGGCUUUGCCGAUUGUGACCUGCUUCAUUCACCAAAGAAGAAACGUGAAUGUAACGAUAUCCAAGUCUCACAGGAUGGUAUUAUGGUUUUAGCACCGGCAGAAUUUGUCUAAAAAAAACCCCGCUAAUUGGGAUUUUUUUAGCAAGAUCUCUCUCUCCCUGUCAGCUCUUAAUGGUUCUAAAAUUUAAAGUAUCGGUAGUUUCUGUUUCUGCAAACAACUGGACUAAACAAGGCAUCACAUAAACAAGGUGAAGUAAUUAAUCAAAUGCCUUUGUUAAAAAAUAAAUCAUUAAGGGUCAUUGAAUGAAUUGUGCUGACCUAAAAUGACAUCAGAAAGCAAUACCUUCCAUGAGACAUUAAUAGUGAUAUUGCUCUUGCACUUUUGUUGUUUACUCCGUAACAAAAAUUACCAAAAUAUAUGGCCCGAAACACACUGAUUUGGAGGUUUUCUGCUGACAUUUUUUGCAACAUUCCUUUCAUUUUGCACAAAGUUUUGCUCAUAUGUUUAAAUUUAAGUUGAUCCACAUUUAGAUUAUUCCUCUAUUCACAAUAAUGGAUACAAAUCUUUCAUUAGAUCCAUGGGGUCAUUGCAAAAAAUAAGGCAUUUAAACCAAACCAAAAAUUGUUGUUUACUUUGUUACUUUCCUCCACUGAAGGCGUGUUUACUACCGUUGCACUUUUCACACUUUUCCAAAUAAUUUAUGUAUUUUUUAAUAUAUAUUUAUAUUGACAAUAAAU